AUACAGGUGACGUGUCCAAAACAGGACAAAACGCGAGUCCUGGAU
rnacentral:hammerhead_ribozyme from 1 species